AGUGAACGCUGGCGGUAGGCCUAACACAUGCAAGUCGAACGGCAGCACAGUAAGAGCUUGCUCUUACGGGUGGCGAGUGGCGGACGGGUGAGGAAUACAUCGGAAUCUACUUUUUCGUGGGGGAUAACGUAGGGAAACUUACGCUAAUACCGCAUACGACCUACGGGUGAAAGCAGGGGAUCUUCGGACCUUGCGCGAUUGAAUGAGCCGAUGUCGGAUUAGCUAGUUGGCGGGGUAAAGGCCCACCAAGGCGACGAUCCGUAGCUGGUCUGAGAGGAUGAUCAGCCACACUGGAACUGAGACACGGUCCAGACUCCUACGGGAGGCAGCAGUGGGGAAUAUUGGACAAUGGGCGCAAGCCUGAUCCAGCCAUACCGCGUGGGUGAAGAAGGCCUUCGGGUUGUAAAGCCCUUUUGUUGGGAAAGAAAGGCAGCAGGUUAAUACCCCGCUGUUCUGACGGUACCCAAAGAAUAAGCACCGGCUAACUGUG
rnacentral:rRNA from 1 species